UACGUAGGCAGCGAGCGUUUGUUCGGAGUUACUGGGCGUAAAGGGUGUGUAGGCGGUUCUCUAAGUUUGGUGUGAAAUCUCCCGGCUCAACCGGGAGGGUGCGCCGAAAACUGGGGGACUCGAGUGCGGGAUGGGGAGAGUAGAAUUCCUGGUGUAGCGGUGAAAUGCGUAGAUAUCAGGAGGAAUACCGGUGGUGUAGACGGCUCUCUGGACCGCCACUGACGCUGAGACACGAAAGCGUGGGUAGCAAACAGG
rnacentral:rRNA from 1 species